GGAGGCGUGGCAGAGUGGUUGAAUGCAGCUGACUUGAAAUCAGCCGUACCUGCAAGGGUACCGUGGGUUCGAAUCCUACCGCCUCCGCCA
rnacentral:tRNA from 1 species